GAUUCGGAGAGUUUGAUCCUGGCUCAGAACGAACGCUGGCGGCACGCUUAACACAUGCAAGUCGAACGGCAGCAGGCCCUUCGGGGUGCUGGCGAGUGGCGAACGGGUGAG
rnacentral:rRNA from 1 species